GCCAGGUCACCAGGUGCAGCCGUGUACAAAGCUUUCAAAUUUCUUCAACAAAUUUCUUCAAACUCAUACCUGCAUACCACAACAUGUCUCGUCCUAAAGUUUUUUUUGAUAUGCUUGUYGGAACCGCUAGAGCAGGUCGUAUUGUCAUGGAGUUAAGGAAGGACAUCGUCCCCAAAACAGCAGAAAACUUCAGAGCCUUGUGCACUGGAGAGAAAGGAUUUGGUUACAAAGGGUCUUCAUUUCAUCGUGUUAUUCCUAGUUUUAUGUGUCAGGUA